rnacentral:rRNA from 1 species
UUAGGUAGUAAAAAUUAAAUUUUUAAACUUAAAAAAGUUGACGGUAUUUUAUUUCUAUUUAGAGGAAUAUGUUUUUUUAAAAUGAUAAUCCACAAAUAUCUUAUUUGAUUUAUUUAAAUAAAAAUUUUGUAUAUCUCCGUCAUAAGAAUAAUUAGUAAAUUGUUUUUUCUAAAUUUAAUUUAAUAAAAAAUGUCAGGUCAAGGUGCAGGUUUAAUCAAGUAAAAAUGUAUUACAAUAAAGUUUAUUUUUGAAUUAUUAAAUUAAAUUUUAAUUUGAAAUUGGAUUUAAAAGUAAAUUAUAUUAAAUUAAAUUUAUUUGAAAUGGUUUUAAAAUAUGUAC